AGCUGCGCGGUGCCUAGAAGUGCGUAUGCCCUUGCCCAGAAUGUAGACCUCACGAGGGACUCUCCGUCACCUUCCAUUCUGCUCCACACCUCCCUGCGUGUCUCGGGCUCGCGUCUGAUGCAAUCUCGCAGGCACAGAUACGUCUGCUGUGCUUGUCUCCCAGACCUGCGCUCACUGCAAACGCUUUAAUAAGCGUACUUCACACACAAGAGGCAUCAGCGAAGGCACACUGAAGACGUGAAUGAACCAAAGCAACAGUGACAUCUUUAAAUUCUCCAGGAAUUCCAAAUUCUUCUCCUUCUGUGAUGUAAAGCAGUUGGGCAUCUUCUCUCCAAUGUGGCUGGCAUGAAGCAGCAGUGGGUGUCAGGCUAGGUGGAAGCUUGGCAGACGUAGUGAAGUUCACCGCUCAGCAAGCCCCAUUCACCAGCUUCCAGACUGGCUUUUCAGCUCUUAAAUAUGAACACCAACCAAAGCCAGCAGACAACUGGACAAAACACUGGGGACAGAGCAGAGAAAAGGAACCCAAAGGUGACAGAGACAAUGCUGAGCAGAAAACACUGCCAAGGAACAAUAAGAACCACAGAAAUAUUCUCAGAAAGAGAAGAGUGGCUAUUACACACCUAAGACCAAAGAAAAUGGUCACGCAUCCUCCGCCCAGUCACCGCCGAGUGUUAGUCAUUCUCUCUGGCUGCCCGCCUCUCCUGCCCGGCUGAACAGGUGUCUGGCCCAGCUUCUUGCCCACAGACCUCUUGGACAGGGGUGAUAACCAGGCCUAUGUCUCCCCCCAGACUCCAGAAACACAGGCCAGGCUCUCCAAGUGUCCUCUGACGAUCUCCAGCCACAGCUGAAGGCGAGAAGAAAGUGCGCCCAGCAGUCUUGAGGGGGCCACUAGAGAAAUGCUGCAGCGUUUCAACACCUUUGUCCAAGGAGAUCUUCCAUCUCCGUCCGUUCGGCCUCAACUCUUUUGUAUCCUAAGAGGGCACUGCUCAGGGUUGGAAAAGUGGAUUUUGUCCCCCACCUCGGUAACUCCCACAGAGAUGGGGUCGCCCCUUUUUAGGACAGGGCAGAGAAAAUGCUGCCUACUGCUUAAUCUCAGCUCCUCGGGAAUCUGCAAAAUGACCGUGGGCAGGUCGCACAGCGGUCUGUCGGUGCGCGGACUCAAUGUGUGUGACAGGAGAGAGAACGUGUCUAUGCGGUCUGCACCUAUUCAAGCCUGCGGGGAGUACGAGGGACUGGGACGUGUGUAUAGAGAUGCACACCUGCCCGUGUGGUGUGCGCACAUGACCGCUGCAGGUGCACAUGUGUGUGUGCAUGAACGUGUGCGCAUGCGUGUGGGCCUGUCCUUGUGCUGUGUGUGAACGUACAGGGCCCCUCUGCAAAUCCCAAGCCAUUGGUUUCCCCGGGGCUGCCCUUGCUCUGAUAUACAAGCCCCUGGGCUACCUUGCAGGCCUCUCCAGUCAGUCUGAACAGAAGGCACCUGAGGCAGAGCUUGGGCCCUCAGCACCGGGGAGUGAGAGGUACCCGCUCUCUGGGGUAUGGGUGAAGUGGCAGAAGGGAGGAAAAGGGAUUCCAGCCGCCCUUAAGCUGGGCAAGGCAUUCACCUUCCCCCCUCCCCACCGAGUAGCAAGGAACACAGACUUGAUUUUGCCUUAAAGUAAAAAGUGUCUCUUGUUUUGCCUCUGAACUGAAUGCAAGGGGAAGAGGGAGAGAGAGUCCUGCCCAGCUGACCCCAUUUGUGACCCCAGGUUGUUUGCCCCACAUCUUUGCAAGGAGCCACAUGAGCAGCCUACGUGGGCCUGAGCACCUGCCACAUGACAGGCCCUUCUCAUGUGUGGCGUGACGGAGCAGUCUGAGCGCUCGUGUGUGUGCACGUGUGCAUUCAGGUCGGGGGAAUCGAGUGUGUGAAUGAAUGUUACUGGAAUGUCUUUCUGGAGUGCCAGGGCCUGUUUCCAUGGCAACGCACAGAGAAAGCCCAGGCAUCAGCGAAGUGCUGCCAGGUGCCAGGGCCAGGGCCAGCUCGCUGCAGCACAGGAAGGAAAACCCCACUCACACGGGGAGCCUGGGAGGCUCGUUCUCUGUCAUAAAGACUUUGCCGUUCAUUCCUCUCUGUGUGACCAGCGAGCUCGGCCUCCUGGGGAUAAGCAUUUGUAUCUUGGCCUUUUUGUUAAAGAUUCUGGAGCCCACCCCAGCGCCCUGGACAAACAGCAUCCCUGUUAGCAAAGGCGCCAGCUGGAGGGACAGCUCUGGAGAUGGCUGCAGAAAUGGAGAGAAGCCCAGCUCUCCAGGGUGGGCCAGGCCCUCAGGUUACCCAGGAAACCUGCCGAGAGGCUGCUGCACCAGCGAUGCCCUUGCCUCUGGGGAAGGCGCAGCCCAGCGAGGCUCAGCCGGGCACGGGCUCAGGAAUCCCUGUGGGCCGUGGCCUCUGUGAGACAGGCACAGACAGCCCAGACAUGCAAAGGGGCACUGGAGCCUGCUGUGGACAGCUACACACCCGCCGACAGGGAAACCGAGCCAAGGUGGGGGAGUUCUGGGACGGGCUUCUGCAUCCAUUUAUUAACCCACUGGCUCGCUGGACACACCUCCACUGCACACCCACCAUGUGCUUGACGCUGGGCUCUUAAACAGUAGCUCAUGAUUCAGGCAAAAUCCUUGCCCCCAUAGAGCUGACAUUCCAGGGGGCAAUUGACAAUGGAGAAGAUCAGCAAGUGGGGGGUGUAGUGUGUGACACAGAGACAGACAACCACAGAGGGGGUGCAGGAUCGGGAGGGACAUUACUCCUUAUGAAAGAGACAGUGAGGCCACUCUAAUAAGACCUUCUAAAAGAUAUCUGGGAAGGUGGAGAGGAAAGUCACAUCGGCAGAAUGAGGGUUCCAGAAGAGGGGGUGCAAAGGUCCUGGGGCAGGAGCCUGCUAAGCAUAUUCACAGAACUGCAGGAAGACCAGAGAGGCUGAGCAGGGUGGGCGAGUGGGAGGGUGGUAGGACCUACAGUCACACCGCCAAACCGUGUGGGCCCUGUGGGCGUGUAAGGACUUCGCUCUCGCCCCGAGUGAAAGAAGAGGACACUGGGGGCUUUGAUUAGAGAAAGGACGUAAUCUUACUUGCGCUUUUAAAUAAUUUCUCUUGUUGCUAUUCGAAGACUGAGUUGUUGAGGGAGGUUCGAGAUGGAAUGAGGGGAGAUCUAAGAUCCCAGCCAGUGGCGACCACUGUUCUACUCUGUCUCUAUGAGUGUGACAGGACACCGCACUUAAAUGUAAUUAGACAAUGAUUGCCCUUUGGUGCCGCCUUUCACUUAGCACGACGCCUUCAAGGCUCAUACAUGUAGCGUCGGUCAGAAUUUCCUUCCUUUUUAGGGCUGAAUGCUAUUCCAUGGCAGGUCCACACCACAUUUCACUGUGUCAUUCACCCACCGAUGGACACUUGGGCGGCCUGUCUCUUGGCUGUUGUGGAUAGCACUACCAGGAACCCGGCGUGCCAAUAGCUCCUCUGCUUCCAGUUCCCUGGGGAAUACACUGUCCAUAGCACGGUGAUGGCCGAGGGGGCGGCCGUCUCACCUAAACGGAACACAUCUGGCAGAGAACACAGGCACCACUGCCAACUGCAGUUGUUCUGAGCACCACACGUGGAGACCAGGGUGUUAAGGGAGGUGGGAGUCAGCUCUGUGACCUGAAAGAGGGAGGAACAGUAAAGAAUAACCAGUCCUGCCCGAAGGUGCUCACAGAGUAUUAACAGAAACCAGUCUUAUUAAUCAAAGGUACUUAAACGGAUGGUGUUAAUAUGU